GUCUACAGCCAUGCUACCCUGAACAAGCCCAAUCCCGUCUGAUCUCAGAAGCUAAGCAGGGUCGGACCUGGUUAGUACUUGGAUGGGAAACUACCUAGGAAGACCAGGUGCUAUAGGCA
rnacentral:rRNA from 1 species